GAUGAACGCUGGCGGCGUGCUUAACACAUGCAAGUCGAACGAAGCACUUUAUUUGAUUUCCUUCGGGACUGAUUAUUUUGUGACUGAGUGGCGGACGGGUGAGUAACGCGUGGGUAACCUGCCUUGUACAGGGGGAUAACAGUUGGAAACGGCUGCUAAUACCGCAUAAGCGCCCAGCAUCGCAUGAUGCAGUGUGAAAAACUCCGGUGGUAUAAGAUGGACCCGCGCUGGAUUAGCUAGUUGGUGAGGUAACGGCCCACCAAGGCGACGAUCCAUAGACGAACUGAGAGGGUGACCGGCCACAGUGGGACUGAGACACGGCCCAAACUCCUACGGGAGGCAGCAGUGGGGAAUAUUGCAAAAUGGGCGAAAGCAUGAUGCAGCGACGCCGCGUGAGCGAAGAAGUAUGUCGGGAUGUAAAGCUCUAUCAGCAGGGAAGAUAAUGACGGUACCUGACUAAGAAGCACCGGCUAAAUACGUG
rnacentral:rRNA from 1 species